AUAAAGUAUGCAUAAGAAACAAAAACAUAUAUUUUUCUCAAUUCAUACUUGAUUAAUGUAUGAGCCUGAGCCUCACAAAUUAAAACAAAAGGAGGGAAGUUUGGUGGCUUAUUAUCCAGUCCCCUCAUUCUCAAAACAAACACACAGACAGGCAGACACAGAGAGAGAGAGAAUGGGAAUAGCCCUUCUCUCAGUGCAAGCCCCUCAUCCCAUCUCUCUCUCUCAGUUUCCUUCCACCAGCCCAAAGACUUGGUUGCAUGGCUCAGCAACUCUCAAAACAAAUCCUUCUAAGUCUGCCAUUCUUCUCUGUGCCGCUUCAGUUGUAGAAGGCCAAGGCCCUGCUUCUCCUCCACCUGAUGAUUCACUUGCUGCCCAAUCAGAAUCUGCCACUGAACCCACCAAAGAGCUUCCCCUGAGUGGUUGCAAGUCCUGUGGGAGAGAGGAAGUGGAGAAGGGAUGCAAUGGAGAGGGAAGGAUUCAAGGUGGAAUUGCAACUAUUCCAGGCUUUGGUUGGUGGCCAAUAAAGGCAUACAGGCCCUGUCCUGGAUUUUUGGCAUCAGGCGGCCGGUAUAGGCGGCAAGGACAAAGCUUGGAUGAGGUUGCCUUUGGAAGGGGAGGAAGAGG